ACUCGCAGCCGCUGCGGGGACUCCGGCUCCCGGCGAGAUCCCCGAGCCCCGGCGGCUGGUGCUGGGAGCCCGGAGCCCGGGCUGCAGCCGGGAGAGGGGAACCUCCAGCUGGGCCCUGCCCGCUGCUCCCCGGGAGCCUCUCCCAGCGCAGAGCCCCCAGCCCGGCCAGGGCCCCUUCCCGGCCCGGCCCCUGCCCCGGGGGGCCCCGCUCGGAGGGAAGGCCUGGAGAUCCGGGACCCACGGCUCUUCCCCUCGUUCCAGGCGGGAGAUGAGCUCAGGUUUGGGAAGGGGGAAUCCUGUGCGGGGGCGAAGGAAAAUCAGACCAGAUCAGGGUGCACGGAGGAUUGAAAGCGCGUCUGUCACGAAGGACAUUCUGUGAGCGGAACCUGUCCCUGUGCUCUGCGGGGGAACAUGGAACCCAAGAGGACGGGAACAUGGUCACUGAGCCCCCUUGGGAGAGGCAGACGUCUGGGGAGAUUUGGUGCCCCAUUUAACUUGGCACCCUAGAUGACUGCCUAGUUCGCCUAUAUGGAUGGGCUGCCCCUGUGAGGAUGGUCAUGUCGGUGAGUCUGUGAGUGUGAUGCUCACAAAGGUGUGAGGCACAGUCUGGCAGGUGUAACAAAAAUAUACUAAGCUCACUUCACACAUUGUCAUGCUGUGUCUCAGCACAGGGCUGAUCUUGCUCCAAAGCAUCCAGAAGUAGGGAGGGGCAGUUACCAGACAUGCUCUGUAUUUGUUUCCAAAGCUGCAUCGGAUGUUUUCAUUGGGCACAUGGCACCUGUCAUGGCCACUCCUUCUUUACUCACCUAAGAGCUGAGGCAAUCAGAGCUUGGAGGGGAGAUAGGUAUUUAGGACAGUCACAGUCUCCAUGCUCUAUAACGGCUCUGAAUGAAGCCAGGCAGGACUCUGGUGCAGUGUGUCUCCCUCAGGGCACACUCUCACCAGGGCAAGAGAUCAAAGGAGUCUUUAUAGUUCUCUCCCAUGGGACAAGAGUGCCGCCAUUUGGUCUGUGUUCCUUACAAAGGGGAUCACCGAGCAGCCAGGCCAAUACCCUCUGUGCUCACAGCAGGACCUACCGUGACACUAUCCGGCCUUCGCCCUCCUGCUCAUGAAGGGUGUCCUGUCCUUUGCAGGAGAGAGAAGAGGAGCGAGAUCACCUUACAUUUCCACCUCAACCCAUGUACUGAAAUUCUGUCAGACCAAAGCUGAUACCUGGGAAAUAUCCUAAUGGCGUUUCUACACAAGGGAACAUUCAGGGAAGAUGAGAUGAGCGCCCCACUGCUUCUCUUUGGACUUGCAAAAUCGCAUCUGGGUUACACCUGGACUAUACAAUACUUGAAAAAUAUUCAAGAAGUGAUCAAAGACCUGAUGAUUUAUAGUGUUGCAGGGGGAAGGUCUCCUGCACUGGUCUGCGGCUGUCCUGACUGCCAAAGUCAAAAUUAAGGCCACCUUACUUCUGAAUGAGAGCGUCCACACAGGGGUUUAAAGCUCUGGAAUUCAUGUGGAUUAACUUCACACCUUUAACAUCAGACCACGCAGACAAGCCCUGAAGAAGUAAAGGGAAGGGAAUAAGAGAAAUUGGUUAGGGGGGCUAGGGGAGACUCUGCUAAUUCUUUUACUUUUAAAAGAUUUAAUUUGUUUUCCAUGACACCCCCACAAAUGGGUGCAGACAUUCAGAUGCAGCACCUGGCACAGGAGCAGGAGACACACAAUCAGCAUCAGAGUUUUCAGCCCAUGAACAAUAACGGGUCAUUUAACAUAAGAGUCAGCAGCAUAGUCUGUGUCUAGAAGAAAAUGGGUGUUAUUCACAUGGGGUACCUACCCUGCAUUAGCUAGCCCUCUGUGAAAACAUAAAGGAAAGGGUGAGGCCAGCACACUGUGUCCCCCGGCCUGACCAAUGCAACGAACACAUAGAACAAUUCAUUUUAAAAAUUCUUCGACUUUGGCCGUACAAACCAGUACACGUGUCAAAACGAAGAACAUCCCUGAAAUGGAUCACAACAAAAAUGGUAAAACAUAGGCCAUUAGAAGUACGAACAAUGUUGUAGAAAAAUCUACAUCUAAGGCCUGACUAUUUACAGUGUUGGGAGGAAGGUCUCCUGCACUUGUCUGUGGUUGCCCUGACUGCCACUGUCGAAAUUAAGGCCAGCUUACUUCUGAAUGAGAGCAUCCACACAGGGGUUUGAAGCCCUGGGAUUUAUUUGCAUUAACUUUACACUGUUAGCAUCAGACCAUGCAGACAAGCUGUGAGAAAAUAAAGGAAAGGGAAUGUGGGAAA